rnacentral:rRNA from 1 species
CCUACGGGUGGCUGCAGUGGGGAAUAUUGGACAAUGGGGGGAACCCUGAUCCAGCCAUGCCGCGUGUGUGAAGAAGGCCCUCGGGUUGUAAAGCACUUUCAGUGAGGAAGAACGCCUGGUGGUUAAUACCCAUCAGGAAAGACAUCACUCACAGAAGAAGCACCGACUAACUCCGUGCCAGCAGCCGCGGUAAUACGGAGGGUGCGAGCGUUAAUCGGAAUUACUGGGCGUAAAGCGCGCGUAGGUGGCUUGAUAAGCCGGUUGUGAAAGCCCCGGGCUCAACCUGGGAACGGCAUCCGGAACUGUCAAGCUAGAGUGCAGGAGAGGAAGGUAGAAUUCCCGGUGUAGCGGUGAAAUGCGUAGAGAUCGGGAGGAAUACCAGUGGCGAAGGCGGCCUUCUGGACUGACACUGACACUGAGGUGCGAAAGCGUGGGUAGCAAACAGGAUUAGAUACCCCAGUAGUC